rnacentral:rRNA from 1 species
GACAGAGGGUGCAAACGUUGUUCGGAAUUACUGGGCGUAAAGCGUGUGUAGGCGGCUAUGUAAGUCGGAUGUGAAAGCCCCAGGCUCAACCUGGGAAGUGCACUCGAUACUGCGUAGCUCGAGUACUGGAGAGGUUGGUGGAAUUCUCGGUGUAGAGGUGAAAUUCGUAGAUAUCGAGAGGAACACCGGUGGCGAAGGCGGCCAACUGGACAGAUACUGACGCUGAGACACGAAAGCGUGGGGAGCAAACAGG